rfam:Aureococcus anophagefferens unplaced genomic scaffold ATRANscaffold_5, whole genome shotgun sequence.
GUGGAGGUGGCCGAGUGGUCUAAGGCGCUGGUUUUAGGCACCAGUCUUCGGGCGCGGGUUCGAACCCCGCCCUCCAUA